UACGUAGGGUGCAAGCGUUAAUCGGAAUUACUGGGCGUAAAGCGUGCGCAGGCGGUUUUGUAAGUCUGUCGUGAAAUCCCCGGGCUCAACCUGGGAAUUGCGAUGGAGACUGCAAGGCUAGUUUGGCAGAGGGGGGUAGAAUUCCACGUGUAGCAGUGAAAUGCGUAGAGAUGUGGAGGAACACCGAUGGCGAAGGCAGCCCCCUGGGUCAAAACUGACGCUCAUGCACGAAAGCGUGGGGAGCAAACGGG
rnacentral:rRNA from 1 species